CAAUUGGAGGGCAAGUCUGGUGCCAGCAGCCGCGGUUAAUUCCAGCUCCAAUAGCGUAUAUUAAAGUUGUUGCAGUUAAAAAGCUCGUAGUUGAACCUUGGGCCUGGCUGGCCGGUCCGCCUCACGGCGUGCACUGGUCCGGCUGGGUCUUUCCCCUUGGGGAACCCCAUGGCCUUCACUGGCCGUGGGCGGAACCAGGGCUUUUACUGUGAAAAAAUUAGAGUGUUCAAAGCAGGCCUUUGCUCGGAUACAUUAGCAUGGAAUAAUAGAAUAGGACGUGUGGUUCUAUUUUGUUGGUUUCUAGGACCGCCGUAAUGAUUAAUAGGGAUAGUCGGGGGCGUCAGUAUUCGGCUGUCAGAGGUGAAAUUCUUGGAUUUGCCGAAGACUAACUACUGCGAAACCAUUCGCCAAGGAUGUUUUCAUUAAUCAGUGAACGAAAGUUAGGGGAUCGAAGACGAUCAGAUACCGUCGUAGUCUUAACCAUAAACUAUGCCGACUAGGGAUCGGACGGGGUUUCUUUUAUGACCCGUUCGGCACCUUACGAGAAAUCAAAGUUUUUGGGUUCUGGGGGGAGUAUGGUCGCAAGGCUGAAACUUAAAGAAA
rnacentral:rRNA from 1 species